rnacentral:rRNA from 1 species
ACUCCUACGGGAGGCGAGCAGUGGGAAUAUUGCACAAUGGGCGCAAGCCUGAUGCAGCCAUGCCGCGUGUGUGAAGAAGGCCUUCGGGUUGUAAAGCACUUUCAGUCGUGAGGAAGGUAGUGUAGUUAAUAGCUGCAUUAUUUGACGUUAGCGACAGAAGAAGCACCGGCUAACUCCGUGCCAGCAGCCGCGGUAAUACGGAGGGUGCGAGCGUUAAUCGGAAUUACUGGGCGUAAAGCGCAUGCAGGUGGUUUGUUAAGUCAGAUGUGAAAGCCCGGGGCUCAAGCCUCGGAAUUGCAUUUGAAAC